rnacentral:rRNA from 1 species
GACGAACGCUGGCGGCGUGCCUAAUACAUGCAAGUAGAACGCUGAGGUUUGGUGUUUACACUAGACUGAUGAGUUGCGAACGGGUGAGUAACGCGUAGGUAACCUGCCUCAUAGCGGGGGAUAACUAUUGGAAACGAUAGCUAAUACCGCAUAAGAGUAAUUAACACAUGUUAGUUAUUUAAAAGGAGCAAUUGCUUCACUGUGAGAUGGACCUGCGUUGUAUUAGCUAGUUGGUGAGGUAAAGGCUCACCAAGGCGACGAUACAUAGCCGACCUGAGAGGGUGAUCGGCCACACUGGGACUGAGACACGGCCCAGACUCCUACGGGAGGCAGCAGUAGGGAAUCUUCGGCAAUGGACGGAAGUCUGACCGAGCAACGCCGCGUGAGUGAAGAAGGUUUUCGGAUCGUAAAGCUCUGUUGUUAGAGAAGAACGUUGGUAGGAGUGGAAAAUCUACCAAGUGACGGUAACUAACCAGAAAGGGACGGCUAACUACGUGCCAGCAGCCGCGGUAAUACGUAGGUCCCGAGCGUUGUCCGGAUUUAUUGGGCGUAAAGCGAGCGCAGGCGGUUCUUUAAGUCUGAAGUUAAAGGCAGUGGCUUAACCAUUGUACGCUUUGGAAACUGGAGGACUUGAGUGCAGAAGGGGAGAGUGGAAUUCCAUGUGUAGCGGUGAAAUGCGUAGAUAUAUGGAGGAACACCGGUGGCGAAAGCGGCUCUCUGGUCUGUAACUGACGCUGAGGCUCGAAGCGUGGGGAGCAAACAGG